AAGUCACCUUUUGUAUGAGUCUUAUUUCUACACAUUUCAAUUAUUUUGUUUAACAACAAAUAGCAAGCAGAAACACACAUACCUGCACAUAGUUCUUCUGCAAAUAUUGCAUAAAUAAUAGAUCUCAAAACGGGCAAAAUGGUCACUGUGAGGAAAGCAGCAAAAACGACAAAGAUACGAGGACCCUGUGAACCAGUAAAUAAGAAACGACUGUUGACCAUGGGCACCGACAUCGAACAAAGACCUUGGACACCGACUGUACGCCGCGGUAAAAUAGCCGCGGAGACUUCUAGUCCGGGACCAGCGUGUGUGCAACUACCAACAUUAGUCGGCAAGAAAGUACCUGACUCGAAGAAACCAGGUGCACCAGCGUUUACUUUUGGACAGAAACAUCGCAGCAAUUUCGAUUCAAUUGGACCGGGGCCAGCGCAAUACGAUGUCACCGGCUUGGGUAUGAAAGGAAAAGCCACUCCUCCAGCAGCGAGCUUACGCAGUCGUCCCAAGGAUAAAACACUCUUCAGGACACCCGCACCUGGCGAGUACGAUGUGGAUCGAGCUGCAAAGGCCGUCAUUGACGCUACGCCGAAGUAUUCUUUCGGACAAAAGCCACCAAAUGAGAAGCCAAACCUAACGCCUGCACCUAAUGUCUAUAAAAUACCCACCGUCUUGGGUAUCAGUAAGGAAGGCCCGAUACGUUCAGCACCGGCCUUCACAAUGGCCGGUAGACAAAAGCCGCGAUUAAUUCCAGCAUUGUUGCUACCCGGUCCCGGUGCCUACGAUGCUGAAUACUCGGUUAUGAAAUAUAAGCCACCUAUGUACACAAUGCGUGGCAAAUUCAAAUACCCGAGUGAUGAGCACAAUAAACCAGGACCGGGCGCACACUGUCCCGAGAAGUAUCAGUUGUACAAAACAAGUCCAGCACCGUCAUUUUCAAUACAUCAUAGCCCAUUUUUGGGUCAAAGAAAAUCGUAUAUUAUACCACAUCUCACUCAUGUAUGCCUAGUUCCCGCGGUGUGAAAACAUUCAAGAUUUCCAUUUAGCCAUGGGACUAUUGAGAUCUAUUAUUUUUCAACGCGAAUGAUUUCAUACUCAUUUUACUUUAAUUGACCAGUCGGAAUAUAGAAAAAUUUUAAGCAAGUCACAUUUUAGUUCUGCAAGUUAAUCUCUCACAUGUUCCAGCCUACAGCUUCGGCAUAAAGCACUCGCCUUACAUCGGACAACUACAUGAAAAAUGUGAUUAUGGUUUCUCUGGAAUAUGUUGAAGGCGCUCCCUCAUUGCUGAUUAUCAAAA
rnacentral:misc_RNA from 1 species